AAGAAAGAGAUUAUGAUGAACUGCUAACUCAUUGAACCACUACCAAUCUUGUGGCUUUCUUA
rnacentral:tRNA from 1 species